rnacentral:rRNA from 1 species
AUGCGUGGUCUGCAGCUGCCGCUCCUCCAAGUUGCCCUUCGCAGCGCAAAGGACCUCGAUCUCAUCCGCUGCGCCAGGGAUCUUGGGCAUGCGGUGUCCCCCAUGGGCAGCGGGCAUGCUGUUUUCCCCGCGAGCAGCGACCUCAAAGUCUGCGACAUCGGUGGUUGGGGGGGCCGCACCCCUCCUCGUCAUGCUCCAUCGCAAGCCCUCCACUCUUCCCUGUGCGGUGCAGACCAACAGCCGUCCGGUAGGAAGAAGGCAUGGUGUCACCGACAGCAGCGCACCACGUAG